CCCGCACAAGCGGUGGAGCAUGUGGUUUAAUUCGAUGAUACGCGAGGAACCUUACCUGGGCUCAAAUGUAUGUUGACGUAUUCUGAAAGGGAUACUUCUUCGGACAAUAUACAAGGUGCUGCAUGGUUGUCGUCAGCUCGUGCCGUGAGGUGUCGGGUUAAGUCCCAUAACGAGCGCAACCCCUAUCAUUAGUUGCCAUCAGGUCAAGCUGGGGACUCUAAUGAAACUGCCUACGCAAGUAGUGAGGAAGGUGGGGAUGACGUCAAGUCCUCAUGGCCUUUAUGACCAGGGCUACACACGUACUACAAUGGCCGAUACAAAGGGCAGCGACACUGCGAGGUGAAGCCAAUCCCGUAAAAUCGGUCUCAGUCCGGAUUGGAGUCUGCAACUCGACUCCAUGAAGUUGGAAUCGCUAGUAAUCGUGGAUCAGCAUGCCACGGUGAAUACGUUCCCGGGCCUU
rnacentral:rRNA from 1 species